UACGAAGGGGGCUAGCGUUGUUCGGAAUGACUGGGCGUAAAGGGUGUGUAGGCGGUUAUACGCGUCAGAUGUGAAAUCCCCGGGCUUAACCUGGGAAUGGCAUUUGGGACUGCAAGGCUGGAGUGUGGCAGAGGAGACUGGAAUUCCUGGUGUAGCAGUGAAAUGCGUAGAUAUCAGGAGGAAUACCGAUGGCGAAGGCAGGUCUCUGGGCUGACACUGACGCUCAUGCACGAAAGCGUGGGGAGCAAACAGG
rnacentral:rRNA from 1 species